CAAANAACAUCUUCUUUUAGGAAUAAAUGAAUUGAAGGUAAUAUCUGCCCAAUGGAUUUAUAUUGAAUGGCCGCAGUAUUUUGACUGUGCAAAGGUAGCAUAAUCAUUUGUCUUUUAAUUGAAGACUAGAAUGAAUGAUUUGACGAAAUAAAAACUGUCUUAAUUGAAAUUAUUGAAUUUAAUUUUUGAGUUAAAAAGCUUAAAUAGAAUUAAAGGACGAGAAGACCCUAUAGAGUUUUAUAUUUUUGUUUUAAACUUUAAUAAUAGAUUUAAAUUUUAAUUUUAUAAUAAAAAUAUUUGGUUGGGGUGACAUUAAAAUAUGAGAAACUUUUAUUUAUUAUUAACUAUGAAUUGUAGAAAAAUAAAUUUAUGAACUUAUAAUAUGAGUUAGAAGAAUUAAUUACCUUAGGGAUAACAGCGUAAUUUUAUUUGAGAGUUCUUAUUGAAAAUGAAGUUUGCGACCUCGAUGUUGGAUUAAGAAUAUGUACUGGUGUAGAAAGUUUGGGUAUUAAUAAGGUCUGUUCCGAACCUUUUAAAUUNCUUACCAUGGACCUG
rnacentral:rRNA from 1 species